GCCACAGCUCAGUGGCAGAGCAUCUGCUUUGCAUGCCAAAGGUCCCAGGUUCAAUCCCCAGCAUCUCCA